AGUAAUAUAGUUUGUUUUCCAUGGAGGGCAGGAAGAAUCAAAGUGCUUGUGUGAAGGAUCACAGAGCCUAAGGAAAUGUGUGAUCAGUGAGGAGACUGAAACCAGCAUGAUCCUGCCACUUAGAGACAUUCUGUACCCUAAGUUAGGUAUUAACAACACAAACAAGACUGCAAUCAAAAACAAAGCCAAAGAAGCCCUGCAGUGUUCCUGGUAUUAGCAAAUGGUAUCAUAAUUUCAUCAUCAUGAACUGUAUUUUCUAUAGUCCGGGCUUAUUCUGGGAUGUUUGACAGCAGAACCUGGUAGAGAUCUGUGAAGAGUCUGUCCACUGACAAAUAUGGCCACGCACAGAUCAAGACCCAUUCAAGCUGUUGUUACCACAAUGACAUAUAAACACAUAAUGAAUUGAUUUUCCAGUGUAAAUUCUGCACACUGGAAUGUCUGAUAUACUUAUCCAGACACAUGAAUAGCACACAAUCAUUUCAUCACUUAAAAUCUACUGAGCCCUGGUACUCUGCAAAGACUGUUAUUCACUGAAUCUCACACCAGCAAGAAGCAACAUGCAUUAAGUUUGCAUGUGGGUUUUGUGUUCUGGUGUUGGCUGGUUUUGUUUAUUUGUUUUGUGUGGUUUCUUUUUUAAUGGACAGAUUCGGAGUAUUUAAUUCAGACAUCCAAAAUAGCAGAUCCACAACUGACUGCCAAUUUGAAUCAUGUGAAAUGAGGAGUUCUCUGUCUCACUGAAGUUACAGAACUAAACCCAGACAGACUCACACUGCUUCAGAUACAGAGAGUUCCACGGCUGUUGGGAGCAUCAUUAUUUUUUGUAAAUCUCAAGAUUUUCCACUACAGAGUAUAAACAUCACUACUGACAGGGCACAAAAAGAACAGUAGCUCACUACAGUUCUCAUGUGAUAACUGAAUGUGAACUAAUAGCGAGCUGACAAUACACUUUCAUGCUUUAUGAAAAGGAGUAUAUGAGGGAGCUGACAAGAGUAAGGAGACCUGGAAAUGUUCCCUGGUCACUUCAGCCUUGUCACUGUCACUUCUUCAGACAGCAAGCAUCUGUGGGGAAGAGCGAGCUGGAGGAACCUGCUCUAGGGAAUCUGCACCAUGUCUGCAUACAGGCUGGGCAAGACUUGCAAGACACAAGUAGACCAUUUGUCUUUGGUCCCAAAAGAUCGUGAAUGCCUGAAAUGGUGCUGCAGACACUAAGAAUGCAAGAAGGAACUUUCAAAUCAAGAAUUUCAGGAGGAAAGAUAAAAGGUUUUGGACUUUUCAUUGAAGGUAGAGUUCAUUCAUGCUUUCCAUUGUUUUCUAUAUUCCUUGCUCUUUACUAUAGGAUACUUUCCCACUUGACAGUAAAAAAAGAAGAGACAGUUCACAUCUCUUGCGACAUCCAACCAGAAAAAAAAAAAAUGCAGCUAGUUUAGAUGAGCAUUUAAUGGAAAUGUAAAGUUAUAGAUACAGAAGUCAACCUCUUGUUUUACAGUUGUGCUGUCUGUAAAACAUUGGAUUCCUAGUCCACCAUCAAUUACGGAUAUUACCACAGUAACAGUAUACAGUCAGGGUGUAUUUUUCCCUAUGUAUAAUAAAUUAACAUGGUUCA
ensembl:lncRNA